rnacentral:rRNA from 1 species
AACAAGGUCUCCGUUGGUGAACCAGCGGAGGGAUCAUUACCGAGUUUACAACUCCCAAACCCCUGUGAACAUACCACUUGUUGCCUCGGCGGAUCAGCCCGCUCCCGGUAAAACGGGACGGCCCGCCAGAGGACCCCUAAACUCUGUUUCUAUAUGUAACUUCUGAGUAAAACCAUAAAUAAAUCAAAACUUUCAACAACGGAUCUCUUGGUUCUGGCAUCGAUGAAGAACGCAGCAAAAUGCGAUAAGUAAUGUGAAUUGCAGAAUUCAGUGAAUCAUCGAAUCUUUGAACGCACAUUGCGCCCGCCAGUAUUCUGGCGGGCAUGCCUGUUCGAGCGUCAUUUCAACCCUCAAGCACAUCUUGGUGUUGGGACUCGCGUCAAUUCGCGUUCCCCAAAUUGAUUGGCGGUCACGUCGAGCUUCCAUAGCGUAGUAGUAAAACCCUCGUUACUGGUAAUCGUCGCGGCCACGCCGUUAAACCCCAACUUCUGAAUGUUGACCUCGGAUCAGGUAGGAAUACCCGCUGAACUUAAGCAUAUCAAUAAA